rnacentral:rRNA from 1 species
AGUGGCGCACGGGUGAGUAACACGUAGCUAACCUGCCCUCGAGUGGGGGAUAACCUGGGGAAACUCGGGCUAAUACCGCUUAACAUCCCGGUGGCGGAAGUCGUCGGGAGCAAAGGCCCGCAAGGGUCGCUCGUGGAGGGGGCUGCGGCCGAUUAGCUAGUUGGUGAGGUAACGGCCCACCAAGGCGAUGAUCGGUAGCCGGCCUGAGAGGGCGCACGGCCACACUGGCACUGAAACACGGGCCAGACUCCUACGGGAAGCAGCAGUGGGGAAUUUUGCACAAUGCCCGAAAGGGUGAUGCAGCAACGCCGCGUGAGGGAUGAAGGCCUUCGGGUCGUAAACCUCUUUCGACCGGGAAAAAUGGGCCCGUGAAUAACGGGUUCUGAUGGUACCGGUGGAAGAAGCCCCGGCUAACUACGUGCCAGCAGCCGCGGUAAUACGUAGGGGGCGAGCGUUGUUCGGAAUUACUGGGCGUAAAGGGCGUGUAGGCGGUGCGGUAAGUCGGGCGUGAAGUCCCCGGGCUUAACCCGGGGCGGUCGUUCGA